GUGCCUUCGGGAACCGUGAGACAGGUGCUGCAUGGCUGUCGUCAGCUCGUGUUGUGAAAUGUUGGGUUAAGUCCCGCAACGAGCGCAACCCUUAUCCUUUGUUGCCAGCGGUCCGGCCGGGAACUCAAAGGAGACUGCCAGUGAUAAACUGGAGGAAGGUGGGGAUGACGUCAAGUCAUCAUGGCCCUUACGACCAGGGCUACACACGUGCUACAAUGGCGCAUACAAAGAGAAGCGACCUCACGAGAGCAAGCGGACCUCAUAAAGUGCGUCGUAGUCCGGAUUGGAGUCUGCAACUCGACUCCAUGAAGUCGGAAUCGCUAGUAAUCGUGGAUCAGAAUGCCACGGUGAAUACGUUCCCGGGCCUUGUACACACCGCCCGUCACACCAUGGGAGUGGGUUGCAAAAGAAGUAGGUAGCUUAACCUUCGGGAGGGCGCUUACCACUUUGUGAUUCAUGACUGGGGUGAAGUCGUAACAAGGUAACCGUAGGGGAACCUGCGGUUGGAUCACCUCCUUA
rnacentral:rRNA from 1 species